UGGCAGGCGUGGUUUCAUGUACUACAUGAACGGGCAUGACACGGAAACAUUGAAAAUAACUUAAAAUGGCUUUUCUCUGUACUAGUAUUCCAGAGCAAUCGUCCAAACAGCAUCCAUAACUUCCAAAUUUUAUUGUGCAUUGUCAUAAACGGGAUAUUGCUGGAAAGGAAUUUUUUUCUCUAUCUAAUUAAUUUGUUUAAAGGUCCUACUUGUGCAAAUAGAGUAUCGAAGAGUAAAAGUAAAAGCGAAUUCUCUAUCUCAGGAUUUAAAUAAAGAAGUUGCCUUUUCUGUUAAUGUACAGUGAACAUCUCAUAAUCAAGAAACAGUUUGUUCCAUGGACAUUGCCGUAUUCUUUAAAAGAUUGUGUUAAUGGUUGCUGAUUAUCCUGAAAUGAACGACAGAACUUACAUGGUAGUAAAUUCAUGACAAGUACAGUAGUAAUAAUUCUAAAGUCUGUAAAAACUCGGCUGAGAGUACUAAUACUAGUACAAAGUUAACAGCUCUACAUUUUUUUGCUUUUAUUUACUGAUUGU